rnacentral:lncRNA from 1 species
CUCAUCUUUGAGUCACUUCAAGGAGGCCUUCCUUCAUUCUCUGCUUGAAGCAAAGACCUCUGGUUUUACUCUUUGAUAGCACGCUAUUCUUUCCUUCAUGGCACUCUCCCCUUAGCUUGGAAAAAUGUUUAUGUGGUUCACCACUCUCUACUUUGAUGGCAUUUUGUUUGCUGUUGCUUGCUAGUAUGUAGCAUACUACCUGGCAUGUGGCGUAUACUUGGUAAAUAUUUUGUUAGUUAAAUGAAAAGAUUUGCUUGGUAUUUAUGGAGUUCUUUUUAUGUUGAGGCACCAUGCUAGGUGCUCAGGAGAAAUGUCAUACCAGGUGUCAUUAUGGUGCUUAGCCUGGGAACUGGCAAUGGGGGAGACAUAUUACAUGCAUAAAUCUGUUCUUACAAUGCAGAGUGAUCUACGCCAUGGGAAAGGCAUGCACACGAUGUUAUGAGAACAAAGAAAAGGGGCUUAGCCAUCAGACUGGUCAAUCACGGAUGACUUUCUGACGGAAUAGACGUUUUAGCUGCUGAGUAUGGAAAGAUGAACUGUUGCUCUCUAGAUGGAGGGAAAGCCAGAGGUGGAAAUCUAGGAGAGCACGGUCAAAGGUGGGGGGCAAAUAAAAAUUAAGGCACUGUUGUAGGGAUGCAUGGGCUGGAGUAAAGGAUGCUUGUGAGGUAAGGACACUGUGGACUGCGCUAAGGACUUUCAACUCUUUCUAGAAAGCUCUUUGAGGCCACUGAGUGACAUCAGUUAGAGAGGUUACCUCAUCAGGAACUCAUCAGUUUGGCCUUUUGAAAAGAAUACUAUGACAAUAAACAAGAUGGACAGACGGAAGGUUGGUUAGAUUAUGAAAAAGGAUUACUGUGCAGGCUGUCAACACAUAUGCUCCCAACUAAGAGAGUACUGGCUAAAGAGAUAGGUAAUGGGGGAAUGGACAGAGGAAUCCUGAAGCCUUAACACCUAUUAUAUAGACUUUAGUGACCACAUAGGUGUGGGGUUUGACUAAUGGAAUCAAAGCUGAUGCCUCAGUUUCCUGUUUUCCUAGGAUAGUGGAACUAGAGCAGGUUUGGAUGAUAAAUGAGUUCAUGUAUAGAUUUGGAUAUAGAGGUCUGGGACUCAAGAGAGACAUCUCAGCUGAAGAUAUAAGUAUUAUAGUCAUUAGCAAGUAAGUGGUGGCUCAGGCUACAGGUUUAGAUGAGGUUACUCAGUAGAGUGACAGUGAAGCAAGUGGAGUGGUUGGGAUGGAAGCCUCAGGGAGCUACAACAUCAAGUUACGAGGAAAAUAAAAAGACUGAUGUCAGGGAUGGAGAGAUAUUUAAAGGAGGAGGAGUAAUCAACAGUAACGAAAAUAGACGGCUAGGGACUGGGCACAGUGGCUCACACCUGUAAUCUCAGCACUUUGGGAAGUUGAGGUGGGUGGAUCACUUGAGGCCAGGAGUUCAAGACCAGCCUAACCUACAUGGUGAAACCCCUUCUCUACUAAAAAUAUAAAAAUUAGCUGGAUGUGGUGGUGUGCACCUGUAGUCACAGCUACUCAGGAGGCGGAGUCAGGAGACUCUCUUGAACCCAGGAGGCAGAGGUUGCAGUGAGCCAAGACUGUGCCACUGCACUCCAGCCUGGGUGACAGAGCAAGACUCUGUCUCAAAAAGGAAAAAAAAA